rnacentral:rRNA from 1 species
UACGUAGGGGGCAAGCGUUGUCCGGAAUCAUUGGGCGUAAAGAGCGCGUAGGCGGCCCGAUAAGUCCGCUGUGAAAGUCAAGGGCUCAACCCUUGAACGCCGAUGGAUACUGCCGGGCUAGAGUCCGGAAGAGGCGAGUGGAAUUCCUGGUGUAGCGGUGGAAUGCGCAGAUAUCAGGAGGAACACCAAUAGCGAAGGCAGCUCGCUGGGACGUAACUGACGCUGAGACGCGAAAGCGUGGGGAGCAAACAGG